GGUUUGGCUGAGGAAGAAAGACGUGACACCAUAGCUCAGUGCAGCUAACAGCAUUAGCACCCCACAGCAUCCACUGAUGAGGUGAAGGUCAUCAAAGUUCUGGGCUGGAUGGAAGGCUACCAGAUCAUCAACCUGCUUUGAGACACGCCGACUUCCAUCACAAGACUACCAAGACUUGAACAAUUCAAAAUUUUAUGUAAUCUUUAAACAUACGGCAGAUGAUUUGAGCUUGUUUAAAAAUAACUUAAUAUGUAACCGUUUUAGUUCCCAGUAUUAACUACUUUGAUCACUAACUGUUGCAGCAUGUCCUUCAUAGCUCUUAGUGGAGCCGUUUAGGCUGGAAAAAAAGGCUAGGUUUGAGGUUCUAAAUUUCCUGACAGUCUUACAUGCAGAAAUUGUUUUUCAUAGUCCUGUUUUUGGCUUCAUCCAUUUCAUCAGCCAGUUUGUUUUAUACAGCCCACUUUAUGGUAAUACAUGGAUUGUUUACUGGGAAAAACCUGGAGAAUUAAUGGAGUUCUUUCAGUCUUGAUUUCAACAAUAAAAGCAAUCCUUGUGGAAA